GAUGAACGCUGGCGGCGUGCCUAAUACAUGCAAGUCGAACGAAGCCUUCGGGCUUAGUGGCGGACGGGUGAGUAACACGUUGGUACCUGCCUCGAAGUGGGGAAUAACUGGCCGAAAGGCCGGCUAAUACCGCAUGUGAUCGCAAGAUCAAAGUCGUAAGACGCUUCGAGAGGGGCCUGCGUCCCAUUAGCUAGUUGGUAGGGUAAUGGCCUACCAAGGCGACGAUGGGUAGCUGGAUCGAGAGGUUGACCAGCCACACUGGGACUGAGAUACGGCCCAGACUCCUACGGGAGGCAGCAGUAAGGAAUCUUCCACAAUGGACGAAAGUCUGAUGGAGCAACGCCGCGUGCAGGAUGACGGCCUUCGGGUUGUAAACUGCUUUUAUAUGGGAAGAUUAUGACGGUACCAUAUGAAUAAGGACCGGCCAACUACGUGCCAGCAGCCGCAGUAA
rnacentral:rRNA from 1 species